rnacentral:tRNA from 1 species
ACCAGUGUGGCAUAGUGGUUUGAGUGUUGGACUAUGGCUCUGGAGACCUGGGUUCAAUUCCUAGCUUGGCCA